AAUCCAUAGGUUAAUGAGGCGAACCGGGGGAACUGAAACAUCUAAGUACCCCGAGGAAAAGAAAUCAACCGAGAUUCCCCCAGUAGCGGCGAGCGAACGGGGAGGAGCCCAGAGCCUGAAUCAGCAUGUGUGUUAGUGGAAGCGUCUGGAAAGGCGCGCGAUACAGGGUGACAGCCCCGUACACAAAAGCGCAUGUGCUGUGAGCUCGAUGAGUAGGGCGGGACACGUGGUAUCCUGUCUGAAUAUGGGGGGACCAUCCUCCAAGGCUAAAUACUCCUGACUGACCGAUAGUGAACCAGUACCGUGAGGGAAAGGCGAAAAGAACCCCGGCGAGGGGAGUGAAAAAGAACCUGAAACCGUGUACGUACAAGCAGUGGGAGCACAGGUUUACCUGUGUGACUGCGUACCUUUUGUAUAAUGGGUCAGCGACUUAUAUUCUGUAGCAAGGUUAACCGAAUAGGGGAGCCGUAGGGAAACCGAGUCUUAACCGGGCGUUAAGUUGCAGGGUAUAGACCCGAAACCCGGUGAUCUAGCCAUGGGCAGGUUGAAGGUUGGGUAACACUAACUGGAGGACCGAACCGACUAAUGUUGAAAAAUUAGCGGAUGACCUGUGGCUGGGGGUGAAAGGCCAAUCAAACCGGGAGAUAGCUGGUUCUCCCCGAAAGCUAUUUAGGUAGCGCCUC
rnacentral:rRNA from 1 species